AUGCUCAUUUUGACAGCACAUAUACUAAAAUUGGAAUGAUGCAGAGAUUAGCAUGUUCCCUGUGGAAGGAUGAAAUGCAAAUUUGUGAGGAAAUAAGCAUUUAU